UAUAAAAUGCGUGAGGGAUAGUAGAGGAAAGCCCACAGCUCGCCUGAAGGCUUUCUGGAGAGCGAGGACUUGCAACGUAUAGCCCGACCUUUU
rnacentral:ncRNA from 1 species